GUAGUGUUCCAGUCAGUCACAGGGAGGUUCUAGUGUUGUAGUCAGUCACAGGGAGGUUCUAGUGUUCUAGUCAGUCACAGGGAGGUUGUAGUGUUCCAGUCAGUCACAGGGAGGUUGUAGUGUUGUAGUCAGUCACAGGGAGGUUGUAGUGUUGUAGUCAGUCACAGGGAGGUUGUAGUGUUGUAGUCAGUCACAGGGAGGUUGUAGUGUUGUAGUCAGUCACAGGGAGGUUGUAGUGUUGUAGUCAGUCACAGGGAGGUUAAUGUGUUCUAGUCAGUCACAGGGAGGUUGUAGUGUUCUAGUCAGUCACAG
ensembl:lncRNA